rnacentral:rRNA from 1 species
UACAGAGGUCUCAAGCGUUGUUCGGAUUCAUUGGGCGUAAAGGGUGCGUAGGCGGCGCGGUAAGUCGGGUGUGAAAUCUCGGGGCUUAACUCCGAAACUGCAUUCGAUACUGGACGGCUAGAGUCUGGUAGGGGGAUCUGGAAUUCCUGGUGUAGCGGUGGAAUGCGCAGAUAUCAGGAGGAACACCGGUGGCGAAGGCGGGAUCCUGGGCCAGUACUGACGCUGAGGAGCGAAAGCGUGGGGAGCAAACAGG